AGGGCUGCACCGGGUGUCGCCUGGGCCCGCGCAGACAUGGGGAUUCGAACUUCACGCUCCCGGCCCCGACCAUGUGAGAAACGACCUGGAUGCCCGGAUGCGGGCCUCUCACUGUUGUGGCCUCUCCGGUUGCAGAGCACAGACUCCGGAUGGGCAGGCUCAGCGGCCAUGGCUCACGGGCCCAGCUGCUCCACGGCAUGUGGGAUCUUCCCAGACCGGGGCGCGAACCCGUGGCCCCUGCAUUGGCAGGCGGACUCUCAACCACUGUGCCACCAGGGAAGCCCCUCAUUCCUUUUUUUUUUAACUCACAGGCCAUGAGGCUAAGCCUCAAAAGGCCUUGCAGCUUCUACUUUUAUCCUCUUGGAAUGUUCCCCUGAGACCGACAUGUGAAGAAGGCUAGUCUAGCCUCCUGGAGGAUGAGCAGUCAUGUUGACAGAGAAGAACUCUUCCAUCCGAGGCCCUCUAGACUGACCGGCCAAUAGCUAGCACUAACCACCAGACGUGUGUGGGAAACCAUCAUAGAUCAUCUAGUCCCAGACGAGCCACCAAAUGAUGGCAGCCACCUAAGUGACACCAGGUGAGGCUGGUGGUUCUGCUAAUCCCAGCCCAAAUGGCUGCCUUCCAGA